rnacentral:rRNA from 1 species
GACGAACGCUGGCGGCGUGCCUAAUACAUGCAAGUAGAACGCUGAAGGAGGAGCUUGCUUCUCUGGAUGAGUUGCGAACGGGUGAGUAACGCGUAGGUAACCUGCCUGGUAGCGGGGGAUAACUAUUGGAAACGAUAGCUAAUACCGCAUAAGAGUAGAUGUUGCAUGACAUUUGCUUAAAAGGUGCAAUUGCAUCACUACCAGAUGGACCUGCGUUGUAUUAGCUAGUUGGUGGGGUAACGGCUCACCAAGGCGACGAUACAUAGCCGACCUGAGAGGGUGAUCGGCCACACUGGGAAUGAGACACGGCCCAGACUCCUACGGGAGGCAGCAGUAGGGAAUCUUCGGCAAUGGACGGAAGUCUGACCGAGCAACGCCGCGUGAGUGAAGAAGGUUUUCGGAUCGUAAAGCCCUGUUGUAAGAGAAGAACGAGUGUGAGAGUGGAAAGUUCACACUGUGACGGUAUCUUACCAGAAAGGGACGGCUAACUACGUG